rnacentral:lncRNA from 1 species
UACCUUCCAAAUGAUCUGUCUAGCCACCAUCAGGAUCUUCCUAUGUUUCGUAUCAUUCCUCUCGAUUCAUAAAAACUAGACUAUCAAUAGAGGAAUGGUAGUGCAAAUGUGUCCACAACAAAUUUACUGUACAUAAUAUCUCCAUCUCUAAAAUCUCUGUCUAACCUCUUCUCUUGAUCUCAUAAGUAUCUGAAAAAAGUUCCCAAAGUAUUGCCAUAGCUGAUCGGAUAUGCUAUUACUAGUGACGAUAUGACUGAUGGUCUCAAUCUCAGAACAACACUAACAUCGAGAAGCAAACUGACACCCAGUCUCUUCUAAAUGACAACACCUAUUGGAAUGAGAUCCUGCUAUAAUCACCAGCAGAAGAAUGAAACACAUGUAAGCAAAAUGGAGCUCCACAUUAAUUGAUACGAGUCCUGAGAUUAGCGAACCAAAUUGAUUUAGCAAAGAUACCAUCCGAUGUAACCUUCCUUAUAAUAUGGUCUGGGACAUCUCUACAUACCUAUCUGUCCCUCUAUGUGAGGAGGAAGAGCCAGUAAUAAUCAUCCAAAAUCCCAUCCAGUGUUAUAAAAAAUCAUGUAACCUUGCAAAUGUGUGCUGCCUAUAUGGGAACAUGGAUGCCAGUGUAGUAUCACCCAUCCAGCAAUUGUGCCAGAAGAACAUAUGUCCUACGUCAAGGUGCCAUGCAAUGUGUAGCUCAGUGUGUGGCACAACUCUUUUCAACCUUUUCCAGGUAGGAGAGGCCUAGUAGGGAACCGCUGCAAGUGAUGGAUGAGCCCCCAUAUAAUAUUUGCCUAGUAAGAACUGAGUCCAAAGAGAACUAUGAGACUAAAACAACUACCAAAGCUUCACAGAGAAAAUGUCCCCCACAUCCUAUAGUUUCCUAAAGCCUAGUCCGCCCCCGUCUAUUGGAAGGAAAAUCUCCUUCUAACUCCUCCAGUGUAGUUGACGUGGUUGUCCCUUAGAAUUUCAUAGGAAUCAUGCAAAGAUGCUCUCCAACUUUUUCAAUACAGCUUGGGAGGCUGCAUAAUUUAAAAAAAAAAAAAAAAAAGUGGUAGAGAUGAUAGUAGUGAUUUAAACAGAGUAAUUCGGCCUGCAGGUAAUAGUAGUUGAGAAGCCCAGCCUAAUAAUCUGCUCUUGAUCUUCAUGAUGAGUUCAUCCUAUAAAAAAUUUCUCUUGGCCCCCUUAGACAAGGGAAUUCUCAAAUAAGUAAACGGGUGCUGUUGAUGUGUAAACUCAAUCAAAAACAAAAGUUUCCUGACCUGAAUAUCUAAUGCUCAUCUAGGUAGUAUAAGACCGCUCCUAUCUCGAUUUACCAACUGGCCAAAAAACCCCCGUAAUGCUCCAAACAAUCGAGAACCCUCCUGAUAGAUUGUUUCUGGCCAUUGGCAAAUUUUAUCAUGUUAUCAGGAGAAGAAAUAUGAAAGACAAGGAUGCUACCUCCAUGCCGAUAAUGCAUAUUGGGACAGGCUUGAAAUUGCUGAGUGACAAUGCGAGGGAAAUUGUCUGCAACAAUAAUGAACAAGGAACGUGAGAUGGAAUUACCCUGUCUGAGCCCACGUGAAGAUGGAAAAAAAAAUAGGGGUGGACAGAUGUUUUAGAUGAAUGUUGAUGGCUAGACAC